rnacentral:rRNA from 1 species
UACGUAGGGGGCAAGCGUUGUCCGGAUUUAUUGGGCGUAAAGAGCGUGUAGGCGGUUCGGUAGGUCCGUUGUGAAAACUCGAGGCUCAACCUCGAGACGCCGAUGGAAACCAUCGAACUAGAGUCCGGAAGAGGAGAGUGGAAUUCCUGGUGUAGCGGUGAAAUGCGCAGAUAUCAGGAGGAACACCGGUGGCGAAGGCGGGUCUCUGGGCCAUUACUGACGCUGAGGAGCGAAAGCGUGGGGAGCGAACAGG